rnacentral:rRNA from 1 species
AACAGGAUUAGAUACCCUGGUAGUCCACGCCCUAAACGAUGGGUGCUAGUCGUUAGAGAGCCAGUCUCUUUAGUGAUGCAGCUAACGCAUUAAGCACCCCGCCUGGGGAGUACGGUCACAAGAUUAAAACUCAAAGGAAUAGACGGGGACCCGCACAAGCGGUGGAGCAUGUGGUUUAAUUCGAAGAUACGCGAAGAACCUUACCUGGGCUUGACAUCCUAAGAACUUUGUAGAGAUACAUUGGUGCUAGCUUGCUAGAACUUAGUGACAGGUGCUGCACGGCUGUCGUCAGCUCGUGUCGUGAGAUGUUGGGUUAAGUCCCGCAACGAGCGCAACCCCCGUCCUUAGUUGCUAACGGUUCGGCCGAGAACUCUAAGGAGACUGCCUUCGCAAGGAGGAGGAAGGUGGGGACGACGUCAAGUCAUCAUGGCCCUUAUGUCCAGGGCAACACACGUGCUACAAUGGGGUGUACAGAGAGAAGCAAUACUGCGAAGUGGAGCAAAUCUCUAAAGCAUCUCUUAGUUCGGAUUGCUCUCUGCAACUCGAGAGCAUGAAGCCGGAAUCGCUAGUAAUCGCGAACUCAGCUAUGUCACGGUGAAUACGUUCCCGGGUCUUGUACUCACCGCCCGUCACACCAUGGGAGUGCAUUCACCACGAAGCCGGGAUGCUAAGAUAG